UAGGGAAUAUUCGACAAUGGACGAAAGUCUGAUCGAGCAACGCCGCGUGAAGGAUGAAGGUUUUCGGACUGUAAACUUCUUUUAUGUGGGAAGAACAUCCAGGGUAGGAAAUGCCCCUGGACUGACGGUACCACUUGAAUAAGGGACGGCUAACUAUGUGCCAGCAGCCGCGGUAAUACAUAGGUCCCAAGCGUUAUCCGGAUUUACUGGGCGUAAAGCGUGUGUAGUCGGUUUCUUAAGUCUGACGUUCAAUGACAGGGCUCAACCCUGUCCUGCGUUGGAAACUGGGAGACUAGAGUUACGGAGGGGCUGAUGGAAUUCCUAGUGUAUCGGUGGAAUGAGUAGAUAUUAGGAGGAACACCAGUGGCGAAGGCGAUCAGCUGGACGAUAACUGACGAUG
rnacentral:rRNA from 1 species